rnacentral:misc_RNA from 1 species
AUCUGUUAUCAAUGAAGAUGAAGAGACUUCUAAUAAUAUUCAUAGGUUAUGUUUCCAUAAUACUGUCGACUGUCUUCAAAAUACAACUAAAGUUCUCAUGGAAGUUAAUAAUAAACAAAUAAAUAAUGAUUUACAAACUCAUUCUUAUGAUUCUGAUUCACCCAGAGUUAUGGAAGAUAACUGUAACCUCUACAAUGAAGUUUUGAUUAGUGAAGACAAAAAUGAAGUUAACACUCAUGAUCUAGGACCCUAUCGAGUGACAGACAUCCUGGGCAAGGGAUGCUAUGCUCUGCAGGAGGUCGCUACCGGCAAGAUGCUGCGAACCAAUCAGGCGAUGAUGAAGAGGUUUCGUCACCGGGAGAUCCUACCAGAGGACCCUAGCAAAGAACCUGACAACCUUGACAGCAAUGUGAACCUCACCGUGAGAUAAACUAUGUGAAUCUCAUGAGAUAAACUAUCUCAUCAAAUAUUAAGGGUAUGUUUGCUACUUCUAAUUAAUUAAAUUGAUGAUAAUUCUAUUUUCAGGUGUUUAUCAAUAUUUUGUGUCUUCAAGAUUGGAAUGAGAGUCUAAAUACCGGCUAGACUUGAAACUACAUAUUUAUAUGCUGAUACCAUAUAAAUUUGUGAUUCUAUAAUUAUAUUAUUGCUUCUUAAUUUGGAAAUAUUUGUGUUUAAUGAAUAAUAAUUUUUAAUACUUGCAGCUAAUUGAUUACUUUAUAAGCACUUUCAAAUUGUUUGUUUCCCAUUCAAGUUUAGGAUGGAAUUAGUUAUUGUGUCCAGUUGGAGUUUAACCGCAUAUAUUAUGUUUUAUGUUUAAAUUUUGAUAACCAUAUUUUAUGCAUAUGAUUGGAUUGAAGAAACAAUUAGUGUAGGUGCCCACCCUUUUUUCUAAUUCUAGAAUAGGUAUCUUAGGGACAACUGUUUUAUAGGUUUACUAAAACAAACAUCAUCAAUAUCGAAUUACAUUAAUGAUAGGUAAUUUGUUGCUUCAUGUGAUAAACAAUAAUGAAUAACACUGAUAAUUCUACACUCAAGAUUAAUAAUCAACAUUAUAAAAUAUUAAAAGAUAAGCAUAGCUCAGCUCAUAAAUUGUGUUUGUUGAUAACGAAAUAACUGAUAAUUUGAUAAAGUACUUGGUAGGAUAAAUAUUAAUAUGAAUUAUAAUUGUUUAAUAAUUGAUGUAUAGAUUUUUUUUGUGAAUUACCUGAUUAUGUACUAUGUAUUAAUGAUAAUAUUCUCUUUCACUGCAAGCGCGGCACAGCACGACGUGGUUCCGAUCCCGAAAAGUUCAGAGACUAUUCGAGAUUUGCGCCGCGCUGCGGUCCAAUGCAUGGAGGUCACAAAGUAGGAGGAAUUCUUUCUUCUAUGUGAUGGAGGUACACUUGAUCACUUGAUACGCCGCACUGCGUUGCGCCGCUCCACCUUCGUAGUGCACACUCUACAUAAAGAUAUGUUGCUAACUGGUGUAGGCUACUGAUAUGUAUUGCUGACUGGUUUAGGUUGUGAAUUAAUUAGUGAUUUAAGUGUGAUGUGAAUAAAAUGAAAAGUUUAAUUUUUAAGUUUUAUGAUCAAGUAUAAUGUAGGCCUAAUAUUAUUUAUGAUAAAAACUAUGAAAUGAAUGAAUGAAUGAAUUCUAUUUGCCAAAAACAAAAUAUGCAAAAAAGCUUCACAAAAAAUAAAUAUAAGUACCGUUAUAUGCUACUUCACUUAAACUAAGAUACAUACAUGAAAAUUAACUCUUAAUUUUAAACACUACAUACUCUUUAGAGUAUGUAGUGUUUGAACAUGUAAUUUAUAACAUGAAAUUGAUUAUUAUAUAAAAGUCAACGAUUGGAAAUAACUUAAGUUCAGCCAUGCCUCUAUGGC